UAGGGAAUCUUCGGCAAUGGGGGGAACCCUGACCGAGCAACGCCGCGUGAGUGAAGAAGGUUUUCGGAUCGUAAAGCUCUGUUGUUAAGGAAGAACGAGUGUGAGAAUGGAAAGUUCAUGCUGUGACGGUACUUAACCAGAAAGGGACGGCUAACUACGUGCCAGCAGCCGCGGUAAUACGUAGGUCCCGAGCGUUGUCCGGAUUUAUUGGGCGUAAAGCGAGCGCAGGCGGUUAGAAAAGUCUGAAGUGAAAGGCAGUGGCUCAACCAUUGUAGGCUUUGGAAACUGUUUAACUUGGGUGCAGAAGGGGAGAGUGGAAUUCCAUGUGUAGCGAUGAAAUGCGUAGAUAUAUGGGGGAACACCGGUGGCGAAGGCGGCUCUCUGGUCUGUAACUGACGCUGAGGCUCGAAAGCGUGGGGAGCGAACAGG
rnacentral:rRNA from 1 species